rnacentral:rRNA from 1 species
AAUCUUGCGCAAUGGGAGAAAUCCUGACGCAGCAACGCCGCGUGGGUGAUGAAGGUCUUCGGAUCGUAAAGCCCUGUCGGAGGGGAAGAUGCUUUCUGUCGCUAAUAUCGGCAGGAGGUGACGGUACCCUCAAAGGAAGCACCGGCUAACUUCGUGCCAGCAGCCGCGGUAAUACGAAGGGGGCUAGCGUUGUUCGGAAUUACUGGGCGUAAAGCGCGCGCAGGUGGUCUUUCAAGUCAGUGGUGAAAGCCCGGUGCUCAACUCCGGAAAUGCCAUUGAAACUGUAAGACUUGAGGAUGAGAGAGGUGAGUGGAAUUCCCAGUGUAGAGGUGAAAUUCGUAGAUAUUGGGAAGAACACCGGUGGCGAAGGCGGCUCACUGGCUCAUAUCUGACGCUCAGGCGCGACAGCGUGGGGAUCAAAC